CUCCGCCAGCUGGCCACAUCCCCAUUUCCAAUCCCCAAUUGCCAUCCCCAAUUCCCAAUUCCCACUUCCCAAUUCCCACUUCCCACUUCUACAUUCUACACCUCUCCUGCAUUGCGGUCGGCUGCUGCGGUCUCUCCAUCUCUCCCCACUCCGGCGGGAAAGCAUGGGUCUCCUGGUACAAGGCCAUGGUCAAUGUCAAUCCAUCGUCGACGAGGAACACCCGCUCGAGUAUUCGGAAUACUGCGCGGACAAGGGCUAUGGCUGGGCUGGGGCCUUGCCGGCACCGCAGGGCCUCUAUGACCCCGAGCGGGAGAAGGAUGCCUGCGGUGUCGGCUUUGCAGCGCAUAUCAAGGGGAAGGCGAGCCAUAAGAUAGUCAGCGAUGGUAAGUAGGAAGAGAGAGAGAGAGAGAGCGAGAGACUCCCUCCCCCGCUAUGUUGCUCCAAUCAAUCGAUUGAUGCCUCUUCUAACCCUUUUCCCCCCGGCAGCCCGGAGUUUGCUCUGCAACAUGACCCAUCGUGGUGCCGUAGGUUCCGAUGCCAGGGACGGUGAUGGCGCUGGCGUGAUGACUAGCAUCCCCCACAGGUUCUUCGUGAAGCACUUCGCUCGUGAUGCCGGCGUCGAGCUGCCGCCCAUGGGCCAGUAUGCCACGGGAAACCUGUUCUUCAAGCCGGACUCGGAGACCCUGAAGGAAUCCCUCGCUACCUUUGACGAACUGGCCAGGGAGCUCGGCCUGCGCGUGCUGGGCUGGCGGGAUGUCCCCCACGACUCUACCCUGCUGGGCCCCGCCGCCCUGUCCCGCGAGCCCGUCAUCAUGCAGCCCUUUGUUGUGCUUCGCUCGGCCUAUGGCGAUGGGCCCACCCCCCUGACGACGACGGACCCGGACCAGCACCCGGCGCAGUUCGAUGAGCUCGCCUUCGAACGCCAGCUCUAUUUCCUCCGAAAGCGCGCGACCCACGUCCUAGGCCUUGCGAACUGGUUCUACGUCUGCUCCCUCAGUAACCGCAACAUCGUCUACAAGGGCCAGCUGGCCCCCGUCCAAGUUUACGAAUACUACCACGACCUGGUCUCCGUUGACUACGAGGCCCAUUUCGCCCUGGUCCACUCGAGAUUCUCGACAAACACCUUCCCGUCCUGGGACCGUGCUCAACCGCUCCGCUGGGCGGCUCACAAUGGCGAGAUCAACACUCUGCGCGGCAACAAGAACUGGAUGAGAGCCAGGGAAGGGGUCUUGCGAUCCGAAAUCUUCGGCGAUGACCUGGACUACCUCUACCCGAUCGUUGAGGACGGCGGUUCCGACUCCGCUGCCUUCGACAAUGUGCUCGAGCUGCUCACCAUGAACAGGGUUCUGUCCCUGCCGGAAGCGGUGAUGCUGAUGGUCCCGGAAGCGUGGCAGGAUAAUCCCGCCAUGGACCCCGCAAAGGCUGCUUUCUACGAAUGGGCCGCCUGCCAGAUGGAGCCUUGGGAUGGACCCGCGCUCUUCACCUUCUCCGACGGACGGUACUGUGGCGCGAACUUGGAUCGCAAUGGUCUUCGCCCCUGCCGAUACUACAUCACAGACGACGAUCGCAUCAUCUGCGCGUCGGAGGUCGGCACGAUCCCAUUCGAUCCCGAGCGUAUCGUUGAGAAGGGCCGUCUGCAGCCCGGCAAAAUGCUGCUCGUUGACACAGUGGCUGGAAGGAUCAUCGACGACACCGAGUUGAAAACCACCGUUGCCAGCCGCCAUGAUUUCAGAUCCUGGGUUGAGAGAGAGCUGCUUCGCCUCCCCGAAAUUCUAAAGGGCCUGCUCGAGAAAAACAUUGACCUAACCUAUACCCUGGACGAUUCUACGGUCCAGGGCGAUGUUCGACUCAAAGCAUUUGGCUAUUCCUACGAGCAAGUCAGUCUCAUUCUGGGACCAAUGGCCGCGGAUUCCAAGGAGGCGCUUGGAUCCAUGGGCAACGAUGCGCCCCUUGCGUGUCUCGCUCAGCAGCCACGGCUUCUGUAUGAGUAUUUCCGCCAGCUUUUCGCACAGGUCACCAACCCGCCCAUCGAUCCCAUUCGGGAGGCCAUCGUCAUGUCCCUAGAAUGCUACGUGGGUCCCCAGGGGAACCUCCUGGAGAUGGAUUCCUCGCAGUGCCAUCGUCUCCUUCUCACCUCGCCCAUUUUGUCACUGGACGAGUUCAGCACGAUCAAAAAUAUGGCGGCGGUCCAUGUCGACUGGUCCGUCAAAACUAUCGAUAUCACUUUCGAGAAAGCGAAGGGGGUUCAGGGCUACCUCGACGCUCUAGACGAGAUCUGCAACGCGGCAACUGAGGGUGUCCAGAACGGCGAUAAAGUCUUUAUCCUUUCCGACAGGGCCACCUCUGCCGAUCGAGUCCCCGUUUCGUCCCUGCUUGCCACGGGCCUUGUCCACCACCAUCUCGUUCGAAACAAGUGGAGGUCGCUGGUUGCUUUGAUCGUCGAGACUGCUGAAGCGCGAGAGGUGCACCACAUGUGCGUUCUUCUUGGGUAUGGCGCCGAUGGAAUCUGCCCGUACCUGGCUCUGGAAUGCAUUCUGAAAAUGAACCGUGAGAAUUUGAUCCGCAAAGCGCUCUCGGACGAGAAGAUCAUCGAAAACUACAAGUCGUCGGUGGACGGCGGCAUCCUCAAAGUCAUGAGCAAAAUGGGCAUCUCGACUCUUCAAAGCUACAAGGGUGCCCAGAUCUUCGAAGCGCUAGGGAUAGAUGAUAGCGUUAUUGACCUGUGCUUUGCGGGCACUGCGAGUAGGAUAAAAGGCAUGACUUUCGAGCAGAUCGCGCAGGAUGCGUUUGCCUUCCACGAGAAGGGCUUCCCGUCGCGAAUUAUCAGCGAGAUCCCUGGGCUGUCGGAAUCAGGCGAAUAUCAUUGGCGCGAUGGCGGUGAACACCAUAUCAACGACCCUGUCAGCAUCGCCAACAUCCAGGAUGCCGUGCGCACCAAGAAUGACAGGUCGUAUGAGGCAUAUGCUCGCUCCGAACAUGAACAGAUCAGGAACUGCACCUUGCGCGGGUUGCUCGAUUUUAAUUUCGAACACCGCACUGCGGUGCCGAUUGACCAAGUCGAGCCGUGGACUGAGAUCGUCCGCCGCUUUGUCACUGGCGCCAUGUCGUAUGGAUCCAUUUCCAUGGAGUCCCACUCCACUCUUGCCAUCGCAAUGAAUAGACUCGGCGGCAAGUCCAAUACGGGAGAAGGGGGUGAGAACGCGGAGCGCAGCAAGGUUCUGGAGAACGGCGACACCAUGAGAUCCGCCAUCAAGCAGAUUGCCUCUGGCCGAUUCGGCGUUACGUCCCACUACCUUGCUGACGCCGAUGAGCUCCAAAUCAAAAUGGCCCAGGGCGCCAAACCCGGCGAGGGCGGAGAGCUUCCUGGCCACAAAGUGUCCGCUGAGAUCGGCAAGACCCGCCACUCGACCCCGGGCGUAGGCCUCAUUUCACCCCCACCACACCACGACAUCUACUCGAUCGAAGAUCUGAAACAGCUCAUCUACGACCUGAAGUGCUCGAAUCCCCGUUCGCGCGUCUCUGUCAAACUCGUCUCCGAGGUUGGCGUCGGUAUUGUUGCCUCGGGCGUUGCAAAGGCCAAGGCGGAUCAUAUCUUGAUCUCGGGCCAUGACGGAGGCACCGGCGCGUCGCGGUGGACGGGAAUUAAGUACGCUGGGCUUCCGUGGGAACUCGGCCUGGCAGAGACUCACCAGACGCUGGUCCUCAACGAUCUUCGCGGCCGUGUCAUCGUCCAGACUGAUGGUCAACUGCGGACGGGGCGGGAUGUAGCGAUGGCGUGUUUACUGGGAGCAGAGGAAUGGGGCUUUGCGACGACUCCUCUCAUUGCCAUGGGCUGUGUUAUGAUGCGCAAGUGCCACUUAAAUACAUGUCCGGUUGGCAUUGCAACCCAGGACCCUUUGCUCCGACAAAAGUUCUCAGGGACCCCUGAACACGUUAUCAAUUUCUUCUACUACAUCGCCAACGAACUACGAGCGAUAAUGGCUAAAUUGGGUAUCCGCACCAUCAACGAGAUGGUAGGUCGUGGGAUGACCUCCCUUCGUCCAAAAUGGAAAAUAUCGAUCUCUCUCUCAUUCUCACGCCGGCCCACUCGCUGCGCCCUGGCGUAGCGACGUACAAUGUCCGUAAACAAGACCAUCGCCUCCACGUCCGUUUGGACAACAAGCUCAUUGCCGAAUCUGAACUGGCGCUGGAAAAGGGCCUGCCGUGCCGCAUCGAGUGUGACGUUGUGAACACCGAUCGCGCCUUGGGGGCUACGCUUUCAUACCAGGUGAGUCGUCGCUACGGAGAGGCUGGUCUUCCGCAAGACACUAUCCACGCAAAUAUCAAGGGCUCCGCUGGUCAGUCCUUCGGCGCGUUCCUCGCGCCUGGCGUAACCCUCGAGCUUGAGGGUGAUGCCAAUGAUUAUGUCGGUAAAGGAUUGUCCGGCGGUCGUUUGAUCGUCUACCCUCCUCGCAGCGCCGUCUUUAAAUCCGAGGAGAACAUCCUCAUAGGAAACGUCUGCCUGUACGGCGCCACACGAGGUCACUGUUACUUCCGGGGUGUAGCUGCUGAGCGAUUUGCUGUGCGUAACUCGGGGGCUACGGCGGUCGUUGAAGGCGUCGGCGAUCACGGUUGCGAGUACAUGACGGGAGGCCGCGUUCUGAUUCUCGGACCGACUGGCCGGAAUUUCGCCGCUGGAAUGUCUGGCGGCAUCGCCUAUGUCCUCGACGUGAAUCAGGACUUCCACUCGAAAAUUAAUAUGGAAAUGGUUGAGGUUUCUGGAGUGGAAGACCCAGCGGAGAUUGCCUUCUUGCGCGGGCUCAUCGAGGACCACCACCACUACACCGGCUCCGAGCUUGCAGCCCGUAUCCUUCUCGAUUUCACUCGAGCACUGGGCCAUUUCGUCAAGGUCCUGCCGACGGAUUACAAGAGGGUACUUGAGGAGGAGGCUAAGAAAGCUGCUGCUGCGAAACAGGCCAAAUUCACUCUUCCGUACUUAUCCAGAAAUCCCUCAGGGGAGGCCGUGGAUAAUCCUCAUGUGCAUCGCGAGGAAUCCAAGAAAAGCAGCAGCAGUGACCUUCUGGAUAUUGAGGACAGCGUUGGCGACGCCAAGACGGAGAAAAAGCGCACUUCCUUGAUCCUCGACAAGACGAAAGGUUUCAUGAAGUACCACCGCCACAGCGAGAAAUACCGGAACCCAAGGACUCGAACUCGCGACUGGGCCGAGCUGAGCACGCGUCUGACGGACGAUGAAUUGAAGUACCAGUCGGCCCGUUGCAUGGACUGCGGCGUUCCCUUCUGCCAAUCCGACACCGGAUGCCCUAUCUCCAACAUUAUUCCCAAGUGGAAUGAGCUUGUCUUCCGGAACCAGUGGCGGGAUGCGCUUAAUCGAUUGCUCAUGACGAACAACUUUCCCGAGUUCACGGGCCGCGUUUGCCCGGCUCCUUGUGAAGGCGCUUGCGUCCUUGGAAUAAUCGAAGACCCUGUCGGCAUCAAGAGUAUCGAAUGUGCGAUCAUUGACCGCGGCUUCGAAAUGGGUUGGAUGGUCCCCACUCCCCCGGCAAGUCGCACUGGCAAGACCGUUGCGAUUAUCGGCUCCGGCCCGGCUGGCCUUGCCGCUGCGGAUCAGCUGAACCGUGCCGGACACCGCGUGACGGUGUAUGAACGUGCCGAUCGCAUUGGCGGCCUGCUGAUGUAUGGAAUUCCGAACAUGAAACUGGACAAAACGAUCGUUCAGCGGCGGGUGGAUUUCAUGGCGGCAGAGGGUGUCAAGUUCGUGACCAGCACCGCCGUCGGGCCCGAGGGAGAUAUCUCUCUGGCCCAGCUACGCAAGGAAAACAACGCGGUCAUACUCGCCACGGGAGCGACGGUGGCGAGAGACUUGAAGAUCCCCGGCCGCGAACUCGACGGCAUCCAUUUCGCCAUGCAGUUCCUCCAUCGCAACACCAAAUCCCUGCUUGACUCGGGGUUGUCUGACGGCGAAUACAUCUCCGCCAGGGACAAGCACGUCAUCGUCAUCGGCGGCGGCGACACGGGGAACGACUGCAUCGGCACCUCGGUCCGCCACGGCGCCAAAUCCGUGACCAACUUCGAACUGCUCCCGCAGCCGCCCCCAGAACGUGCCCGCGAUAACCCCUGGCCGCAGUGGCCACGCGUCUACCGCGUCGAUUACGGACACACGGAGGUGAAGACCCACAUGGGCAAGGACCCGCGCGAGUAUUGCAUAAUGUCGAAGGAAUUCGUCGGCGAGAACGGCGUCGUGAAGGGUAUCAACGUCUGCCGUGUCGAGUGGACCAAGAGUGCGGCGGGCGGCUGGGACAUGAAGACGAUCGAGGGCAGCGAGCAGUUCUUCCCCGCCGACCUUGUCCUGCUCUCCAUGGGUUUCCUGGGCCCCGAGGAUAGGCUGCUCGGGGAGGAAAUUGAGAAGGAUGCUCGGAAGAACAUCAAGACGCCCCCCGGCCACUAUUCGACGAACGUCCCCGGUGUCUUCGCUGCUGGCGACUGUAGACGUGGACAGUCUCUGAUCGUUUGGGGAAUCAACGAAGGCCGCCAGGCUGCUCGCGAAGUCGACGCGUAUCUGAUGGGCACCAGUUCUCUGCUUCCCGUCACUGGAGGAAUUGUCCGCCGGCCCGCAAUCGACUCUGUGCCCGCUGCCGGUCAAGCGCAAACCGUCGCCGCGUAGGAGCUGGAAUAGGAAUGAAAUGGUAUCUUAGCGCUGUCUAAGGGGGCCCUGCCGCAUGUAUAUAUAUAUAUAUAUAUACUCGGACACGGGCCAUUCAUCGGCUGAUGGCGGUGCGAGCUGGACAUAUCACGUCAAACAAAGCUCAUGAGGCAAACUGGGGCCCCUCGCAGACACACAAUAUUGAUAACUUUUGUGUCGGCCUCUUGAGUCUUCCCCCGCCGGGGGUGUCCUCCCAUGGGUAUCGUUCACACAGGAUUUUGGAAUGGGCCAUUUCCUCAUUUCCAGAAAAAUCACAGACAGUUUGGAACGAGUUGAUGAGAUGGAAACGGGUAUUUUUUUUUUUUUUUUGGAGAAACUUCUCUCGCAAACUGCCGUGAUGCUAUUUAUUUAUUUAUUUAUUUUAUUUGCUCGUGCCGUUUCGUUCAGAAUACCCGCUACCGGAAACGUUUCCUAUUUUGUUUUCUCUUUUGGGGUGUGUGGGGGGGGGGCGGCGGCAUGGGACGGUCAAGUUCUCAUUUUGGUUAUUUACUGCUUUUUGGAGGGAUUUUCUUUUCUUUUCUUUUUUUCUUUUUCUUUUUCUUCUUUUUUUUGUAUUGCAUAUUCUCAUCACGGCUGGCUGCUCGGGUUUUUUUUAUUUAACAUGGUCGGCACACUGUUAGCUAAAAAUUUUAAAAUCUCUAGUUAAAUCUAACCACAUCUUCUAUAAGUUAGUUAGUUCAACUCUCUGUCAUUAGUUUUCAUUCUGUCUGUGCCUCUCCAUUUCCUUGGCCAUGUACAUAUUGUAUCUCCUUUCCUUUCCUUUCCUUCUUCCUCGCCCGGAACACAUUUGUCACACAUUGUCAAGGGGGUUUCUUCUAAGGGGUUGGGGUUAUCUUCAAAAAUCCAAAAACUAUUAUUAUUAUGGGUGACUUACAAGAGGAGAAGAGCAAUCAAUCCAUGUCAUGUACACCUUCAUUGGCAAGGAGAAAGUGAAGAGAUUUUUUUCCCUUUUUCCUUUCUUUUCUUUUCUUUUUUUUUUCCGUUCAAACCCAGAGAACAUGCAGGACAGACAGCAGUCAGCGCGGUUGUCUCGCUGAGACCGUGGUUGGGAACGCGGAAAGCCACCGAUUCCUCUCCCUACCCUGCCUCUUUCCCCGUCUUAGGGAGAUCCCAUGUGUGGAGUUAAGAAGAUCUUCUUUGUAUUUUUUUUUUCCUGCUACAUUAUGUACUGUACAGUAUAUCCAUUAUUCAUACCAUUGAAAAUGAUAUGAAUUCAAGGGGGGGCGGUUGUAGAUGAGAACCUCAAGCCAAAAUAUCGUUACAUAGUCUAUCGCCAAACCCUAAAAGCACAACAAAGCUUCAAAUAAAUCAAACCCAUACCGACCAAAAAUUCAACAGCGGUCUGAGACCUGAGACCUUCAAGCACACCAGGCG
rnacentral:sRNA from 1 species